GAAAGUAUAGCUCAAGUGGUAGAGCACAUGCUUAGCAUGCAUGAGGUCCUAGGUUCAAUCCUUAGCACCUCCU
rnacentral:tRNA from 1 species